ensembl:lncRNA
GGGCUGGUAUAUGAUGGGGUAAUGGGGUGGGGAAUGGUAUAUGAUGGGGUGGAGGAUGGUAUAUGACGGGGUGGGAGAUGGUAUGUGAUGGGGUGGAGGAUGGUAUAUGAUGGGGUGGGGAUAGUAUAUGAUGGGGUGGAGGAUGGUAUAUGAUGGGGUGGAGGAUGGUGUAUGAUGGGGUGGAGGAUGGUAUAUGAUGGGCUGGGGGUGGUAUAUGAUGGGGUGGGGGAUGGUAUAUGAUGGGGUAAUGGGGUGGGGGAUGGUAUAUGAUGGGGUGGAGGAUGGUAUAUCAUGGGGUGGAGGAUGGUAUAUGAUGGGCUGGGGGAUGGUAUAUGAUGGGGUGGAGGAUGGUAUAUGAUGGGGUGGGGGCUGGUAUAUGAUGGGGCAAUGGGGUGGGGAAUGGUAUAUGAUGGGGUAGGGAUGGAAAAUGAUGGGGUGGAGGAUGGUAUAUGAUGGGUGGGGGCUGGUAUAUGAUGGGGUCGGGGCUGGUAUAUGAUGGGGUGGAG